CGGUGGAGCAUGUGGUUAAUUCGAAGCAACGCGAAGAACCUUAUCAGGCCUUGACAUGCAGAGAACUUUCCAGAGAUGGAUUGGUGCCUUCGGGAACUCUGACACAGGUGCUGCAUGGCUGUCGUCAGCUCGUGUCGUGAGAUGUUGGGUUAAGUCCGUAACGAGCGCAACCCUUGUCCUUAGUUACCAGCACGUUAUGGUGGGCACUCUAAGGAGACUGCCGGUGACAAACCGGAGGAAGGUGGGGAUGACGUCAAGCCAUCAUGGCCCUUACGGCCUGGGCUACACACGUGCUACAAUGGUCGGUACAAAGGGUUGCCAAGCCGCGAGGUGGAGCUAAUCCCAUAAAACCGAUCGUAGUCCGGAUCGCAGUCUGCAACUCGACUGCGUGAAGUCGGAAUCGCUAGUAAUCGUGAAUCAGAAUGUCACGGUGAAUACGUUCCCGGGCCUU
rnacentral:rRNA from 1 species